rnacentral:tRNA from 1 species
GGAGAGGUCGCAUAGUGGUCUAGUGCGGAUGUCUUGAAAACAUCUGAGGGUGCAAGCCUUCCGCGGGUUCGAAUCCCGCCCUCUCCGCCA